CUCUGUUCGUUACAAUUUUCUUUGUGCUUUCCUAUAUCUCAAUUUUUCUAAACAAACCAGGCUUAAUCUCCCGCUAUUUGAUUUUUAAGGAUAAUCUUAAACUGCACGAAAAAUCGUCAAUGUUUGUCAAUAUGACUGAUCAAAAAGUACAUCUCAGUCUAUACAUUUUUUUUAAAAAGUAACCGAACUGGAUUUUUUUUGUAUAAAGCUAAGAUAUCUGGAAGUUCUAGCUAAAUAUCGUUUUUCUAUGGUGCUCCUUGAAGAACAUCUUCUGGUCCUAACUAUUAUUUCUAAUGCACAAUUUUGAUGGUCAAAACCUUCGGAUCUACCAUUUUUCUACAACCUUCAUUGUAUAUGGAUCUAUAUGUAAGUAUACAAGGUAUACCAGACGUUUCUUAAUAAAUAAAUCAGUUGGCCCGAGAACACAGUUAUUUCGUAGUGCAUUUCUUUUAGACAAUAAAUUCAAAUUUAAAAAAUCGCACCUGCUCUUUCUCAAAAAGAUUUUUACAGUGUAGUGUACUACCAGUGAGACAAAUAAUAUCAAAAUUAUAGAAACUUCUACCAGCUCUAACUCAAAAUAUUGACAAUUCUGUGUUAAGGGGAUGUAAAAUUCAUUUAUCUCAGUUUGACAGCUUCAGACGUGAUAAAAUUUGACCUUUUUGAACUGGACCAAAUCACUACUUAACAUAAAGAUUCAGCACCCAAUUUUUUU
rnacentral:lncRNA from 1 species